UACAGAGGUCCCAAGCGUUGUUCGGAUUCACUGGGCGUAAAGGGUGCGCAGGUGGGUUGGCAAGUUUGAUGUGAAAGCCCCGGGCUUAACCCGGGAAUGGCAUUGAAUACUGCUGAUCUGGAGGAUUGGAGGGGGGACUGGAAUUCCUGGUGUAGCGGUGAAAUGCGCAGAUAUCAGGAGGAACACCGAUGGCGAAGGCGGCUCUCUGGGACGGUACUGACGCUGAGACGCGAAAGCGUGGGGAGCGAACAGG
rnacentral:rRNA from 1 species